rnacentral:lncRNA from 1 species
UUAUUUUUAAUUUUCACCAUCACUUUGCCAUGGAAGUAUCGACCUGAACUAGGCCCACUUAUGGAGCACCCCAUAUGGAAUUUAGGAAAAAGAGAGCCGUAAAAAACCUUAUUGUUGAGCAUAAUGUUGAUAAGUAUGAGCCUCCUUCUAGCGGACAUAAACUUGCCCCUCCAAGUAGAGAGUAUUCUCUAACUACUCACACACAUUAUUUUUAAUGAACAUUUGAGAACCUACGAUAAUGUAUUGGGAUUACCAAAUACCAAGGUGCGAACAUGCCUUGCUUACAACCAAAUAAUUUGGACAUGAUAACCCCCCUUGGCUUUCCCAAAGCAAAAUAAAUCAUUUGUAUGGAAGUUUAUUUUAGGACUCGACAAUUGCUGAAACACUGAUAACACCAGCUUCACGUUCUUAGCCUUUUUGUGACCAUGCUUUAUAAAAAUAAUUGUUCCAUCCGCGUAUUGAAGAAUGGACAAUCCUUCAUCCACUAGGUGUGGCACCACUCAACAAAUUUUCCUGGAAUUCUUUUCACACUCUAAGAUGUUCACGAGCAUAUCAUCCCAUGAUAACCCACAAGUAUAGGGAUCACAACAGUUUUCGAGGGUAGAGUAUUCAACCCAAAUUUAUUGAUUCGACACAAGGGGAGCCACAGAAUAUUCUCAAGUAUUAGCAGUUGAGUUGUCAAUUCAACCACACCUGGAUAACUUAGUAUCUGCAGCAAAGUAAUAUGAUAGUAGUGGUAACGGUAACAAAGGUAAUAGUAGCAAAAGUAAUAUUUUUGGUGUUUUGUAGUGAUUGUAACAGUAGCAACGGAAAAGUAAAUAAGCAAAGAACAAUAUAUGAAAAGCUCGUAGGCAUUGGACCGGUGAUGGAGAAUUAUGCCGGAUGCGGUUCAUCAUGUAACAAUCAUAACAUAGGGUGACACAGAACUAGCUCCAAUUCAUCAAUGUAAUGUAGGCAUGUAUUCCGAAUAUAGUCAUACGUGCUUAUGGAAAAGAACUUGCAUGACAUCUUUUGUCCUACCCUCCCGUGGCAGCGGGGUCCUAGCGGAAACUAAGGGAUAUUAAGGCCUCCUUUUAAUACAGUACCGGAACAAAGCAUUAACACAUAGUGAAUACAUGAACUUCUCAAACUAUGGUCAUCACCGGGAGUGGUCCCGAUUAUUGUCACUUCGGGGUUGCCGGAUCAUAACACAUUGUAGGUGACUAUAGACUUGCAAGAUAGGAUCAAGAACUCACAAUAUUCAUGAAAACAUAAUAGGUUCAGAUCUGAAAUCAUGGCACUCGGGCCCUAGUGACAAGAAUUAAGCAGAGCAAAGUCAUAGCAACAUCAAUCUCAGAACAUAGUGGAUACUAGGGAUCAAACCCUAACAAAACUAACUCGAUUACAUGAUAGAUCUCAUCCAACCCAUCACCGUCCAGCAAGCCUACGAUGGAAUUACUCAUGCACGGCGGUGAGCAUCAUGAAAUUGGUGAUGGAGGAUGGUUGAUGAUGACGACGACGACGGAUUCCCCUCUCCGGAGCCCCGAACGGACUCCAGAUCAGCCCUCCCGAGAGGUUUUAGGGCUUGGCGGCGGCUCCGUAUCAUAAAACGCAAUGAAUCCUUCUCUCUGAUUUUUUUCUCCCCGAAAGUGAAUAUAUGGAGUUGGAGUUGAGGUCGGUGGAGCGUCAGGGGGCCCACGAGGUAGGGGCGCGCCCAGGGGGGUAGGCGCGCACCCCACCCUCGUGGACAGGGUGUGGGCCUCCUAACGUGGAUUUUUCUUCCAGUAUUUUUCUUAUUUUCCAAAUAGAUGUUCCGUGGAGUUUCAGGUCAUUCCGAGAACUUUUGUUUCUGCACAUAAAUAACACCAUGGAAAGUGUGCUGAAAACAACGUCAGUCCGGGUUAGUUCCAUUCAAAUAAUGCAAGUUAGAGUCCAAAACAAGGGCAAAAGUGUUUGGAAAAGUAGAUACGACGGAGACGUAUCAACUCCCCCAAGCUUAAACCUUUGCUUGUCCUCAAGCAAUUCAGUUGAUAAACUGAAAGUGAUAAAGAAAAACUUUUACAAACUCUGUUUGCUCUUGUUGUUGCAAAUAUGUAAAGCCAGCAUUCAAGUUUUCAGCAAAGAUUAUGACUAACCACAUUCGCAAUAACUCUCAGGUCUCAUGUUUCCUCAUAUCAAUAGCAUAAUCAACUAGCGAGCCAUAAUAAUAAAUCUCGGAUGACAACACUUUCUCAAAACAAUCAUGAUAUGAUAUAAUAGGAUGGUAUCUCGCUAGCCCUUUCUGAGACCGCAAAACAUAAAUGCAGAGCACCUUUAAAGGUCAAGGACUGACAAAACAUUGUAAUUCAUGGUAAAAGAGAUCCAGUCAUAGUCAUACCCAAUAUAAACUAAUAGUAAUGGAUGCAAAUGACAGCGGUGCUCUCCAGCUGGUGCUUUUUAAUAAGAGGGUGAUGACUCAACAUAAAAGUAAAUGGAUAGGCCCUUCGCAGAGGGAAGCAGGGAUUUGUAGAGGUGCCAGAGCUCGGUUUUGAAAUAGAGAUAAAUAAUAUUUUGAGCGGCAUACUUUCAUUGUCAACAUAACAACCAAGAGAUGGCGAUAUCUUCCAUGCUACACACAUUAUAGGCGGUUCCCAAACAGAAUGGUAAAGUUUAUACUCCCCCUCCACCAACAAGCAUCAAUCCAUGGCUUGCUCGAAACAACGAGUGCCUCCAACUAGCAACAGUCCCAGGGGGAGUUUUGUUUGCAAUUAUUUUGUUUCAGUUUGCAUAAAGCAUGGGACUGGGCAUCCCGGUGACCAGCCAUUUUCUCGUGAGUGAGGAGCGGAGUCCACUCCUCUUGAGAAUAACCCGCCUAGCAUGGAAGAUACGGACAACCUUAGUUGAUACAUGAGCUAUUCGAGCAUACAAAACAGAAUUUCAUUUGAAGGUUUAGAGUUUGGCACAUACAAAUUUACUUGGAACGACAGGUAGAUACCGCAUAUAGGAAGGUAUAGUGGACUCAUAUGGCAUACCUUUGGGGUUUAAGGGAUUGGAUGCACAAGCAGUAUUCCCGCUUAGUACAAGUGAAGGCUAGCAAAAGACUGGGAAGCGACCAACUAGAGAGCGACAACAGUCAUGAACAUGCAUUAAAAUUAAUAGACAUUGAGUAUGAGCAUGAGUAGGAUAUAAUCCAUCAUGAACAUAAAUAUCGUGAAGGCUAUGUUGAUUUGUUUCAACUACAUGUGUGAACAUGUGCCAAGUCGAGUCACUUAAAUCAUUCAAAGGAGGAUACCACCCCACUAUACCACAUCACAACCAUUUUAAUAGCAUGUUGGCACGCAAGGUAAACCAUUAUAACUCAUAGCUAAUCAAGCAUGGCACAAGCAACUAUGAUCUCUAAUUGUGAUUGCAAACAUGUUUAUUCAUAAUAGGCUGAAUCAGGAACGAUGAACUCAUCAUAUUUACAAAAACAAGAGAGGUCGAGUUCAUACCAGCUUCUCUCAUCUCAGUCAGUCCAUCAUAUAUCGUCAUAAUUGCCUUUCACUUGCACGACCGAACGAGGUGAAAAUAAUAAGAGUGCACAUGCAUUGGACUAAGCUGGAAUCUGCGAGCAUUCAAUAAACAGGAGAAGACAAGGCAAUAUGGGCUCUUGGUUAAAUCAACAAUAAUGCAUAUAAGAGCCAUUUCAACAAUUUAAUCAUGGUCUUCUCCUAUCGACCCCCAAAGAAAAGAAAAGAAAUAAAGCUAUUUACACGGGAAAGCUCCCAACAAGCAAAAGAAGAACAUGAGAUCUUUUUGGGUUUUUUUUUAAUUAUUACUACUACAGCAAGAAAGUAAACUAGCUAAAAGCUACAACUAAUUUUUUUGGUUUUCUUAAGGUUUUUCUUAAACACACAAGAAGAAAGCAAGAAAAAGAAAAAUAAACUAGCAUGGAUAUUAAAGUGAAAAAGUAUGAGCACCGACAUUUAGCAAUGAGUGUGUGAACAUAAAUGUAAUGUCGGUGAGAGAUACGUACUCCCCCAAGCUUAGGCUUUUGGCCUAAGUUGGUUUAUUGCCACGGAUGGCCUGGCGGAUAUCCAUAGUUGUAGCCGGGAUCGUACUGAGCUGCGGCAGUUAUUGCCUCCUGAGUUGCAGCGUGGCGGCGAGCUGCCUCCGCCCUCCUCUCGUACUCACCUGCCUCCUCCCUGGUAAUAACAUAUCUUCCUUUUGCCUCCUCCCAAAUGAACUAGUGAGAUAGUGGUAUUGGCGGCACUUCUCUGCCUCGAAGCUCACAAGAUCAGCGUUACGCAAAUAUGCGUUAAAUUCUUCCUUGAUUCCCGCUCAAUCCAUAAAGUUUUCUGAAGGCCAUUCACAAGGCCGCACUGGAGCAUCCCUUGGUGGCUCAUCGUCAGCAUCACGCAUUGCAAGCUUGGGUCCUUGCUUCCUUGAAGAACCACCUUGGAACAUUUUCCUAAGCAUAUUUCUUCCUCUGAAAAAUUUCUAAAAUUUUUAGUAACUUCAAACAAAAGUGAACCAAACUCAACAAAAUUGAUAGCAACUACUCCUACAAGUGCCUAGAGCCUAUAUCAUGCAUUAGAACUACUUGGAACCAUAUAAAUUUGACAUGCAAGCUCAAGAACAUGGUCACCUAGGCAGCACAAAUUUGCAAUGAAUAGAGCACUAGGACAAAAACUAAUUGGACCAAUGGAGGAGUCACAUACCAAGGAACAAUCUCCCCAAGCAGUUUUGUGAGAGGUGCUUUGAGCAAGGAGAUCGAAAAUCGCAGCAAAAUGAGCCAGAACUCGUGCUUGAGCUGGAUGGUGAUUUUUUUGGGAGGAAGAAGUGUGUGGGUGCAGGAAUAAGUGGAGGGGAGCCACCAUGGGCCCACGAGGCAGGGGGCGCGCCCUGUAGGGGUGGGCGCGCCCUCCACCCUCGUGGCCAGGUGCUUGCCCCUCCUGCUGUGUUCUCAGUGCCAGAUAUUCUCAAAUAUUCAAGAAAAAAUCAUAUUCCAUUUUCAGGGCAUUUGGAGAACUUUUAUUUUUGGGGUAUUUUUAUAUUUCACGGAUAAAUCAGAAAACAGACAGGAAAAUACUAAUUUUACUUUAUUUCAACUAAAUAACAGAAAGUAGAAAGAGGGUACAGAAGGUUGUGCCUUCUAGUUUCAUCCAUCUCAUGCUCAUCAAAAGGAAUCCACUAACAAGGUUGAUCAAGUCUUGUUAACAAACUCAUUCCGAAUAACAUGGAACCGGAGAAAUUUCGAAUAACACUAUGUUACCUCAACGGGGAUAUGCACAUCCCCAAUUAUAAGAAUAUCAUAUUUUUUUCUUGACAGUAGGAAGAGGAAAUUCAAAACCUCCAAAAAUAAUCGAUGGAAUUUUUCCAAUAGAAUUGAUACUGUGGACUUGAGGUUGUUUCCUCGGAAAGUGUACCGUAUGCUCAUUACCAUUAACAUGAAAAGUGACAUUGCCUUUGUUGCAAUCAAUAAUAGCCCCUGCAGUAUUCAAAAAGGGUCUUCCAAGAAUAAUAGACAUACUAUCGUCCUCGGGAAUAUCAAGAAUAACAAAGUCCGUUAAAAUAGUAACGUUUGCAACUACAACAGGCACAUCCUCACAAAUACCGACAGGUAUAGCAGUUGAUUUAUCAGCCAUUUGCAAAGAUAUUUCAGUAGGUGUCAACUUAUUCAAAUCAAGUCUACGAUAUAAAGAGAGAGGCAUAACACUAACACCGGCUCCAAGAUCCCAUAAAGCAGUUUUAACAUAUUUUCUUUUAAUGGAGCAUGGUAUAGUAGGUACUCCUGGAUCUCCUAGUUUCUUAGGUAUUCCACCCUUAAAAGUGUAAUUAGCAAGCAUGGUGGAAAUUUCAGCUUCCGGUAUCUUUCUUUUAUUAGUAACAAUAUCUUUCAUAUACUUAGCAUAAGGAUUCAUUUUGAGCAUAUCAGUUAAUCGCAUACGCAAAAAGAUAGGCCUAAUCAUUUCAGCAAAGUGCUCAAAAUCCUCAUCAUGUUUUUUCUUGGAUGGUUUGGGAGGAAAAGGCAUGGGUUUCCGAACCCAUGGCUCCCUUUCUUUACCGUGCUUCCUAGCAACAAAGUCUCUCUUAUCAUAACGUUGAUUCUUUGAUUGUGGGUUAUCAAGAUCAACAGCUGGUUCAAUCUCUACAUCAUUAUCAUUACUAGGUUGAGCAUCAUCAUGAACAUCAUCAUUAACAUUUUCACUAGAUUCAUGUUCAUUACCAGAUUGUGUUUCAACAUCAGAAAUAGAAAUAUCAUUUGGAUUCUCAGGUGGUUCAGCAAUAGGUUCACUAGAAGCAUGCAAAGUCCUAUCAUUUUUCUUUUUCUUCUUUUUAGAAGAACUAGGUGCAUCAAUAUUAUUUCUCUGAGAAUCUUGUUCAAUUCUCUUGGGGUGGCCUUCAGGAUACAAAGGUUCCUGAGUCAUCUUACCAGUUCUAGUAGCCACUCUAACAGCAUAAUCAUUUUUCUUACUAUUCAAUUCAUUGAGCAAAUCAUUCUGAGCUUUAAGUACUUGUUCUACUUGAGUGGUAACCAUAGAAGCAUGUUUAGUAAUGAGUUUAAGUUCACCUUUAACUCUAGACAUAUAAUCACCCAAGUGUUCAAUCAUAUAAGCAUUUUGUUUUAAUUAUCUACCAAAAUAAGCAUUAAAAUCUUCUUGCCUAACCAUAAAGUUAUCAAACUCAUCCAAGCAUUGCUAGCAAUUUUAGUAGGAAGGAUUUCAGCUUUAUCAUAUCUAUAGAGAGAAUUUACCUUUACUACCUGUGUCGGGUUAUCAAGACCAUGAGUUUCUUCAAUAGGUGGAGGAUUAAAAUCAAAAGUUUCUUCAACAGGCGGUAAAUUAAGACCAUGUAUUUCUUCAAUAGGAGGUAAAUUUUUAACAUCUUCAGCUUUAAUACCCUUUUCUUUCAUAGAUUUCUUUGCCUCUUACAUAUCUUCAGGACUGAGAAAUAGAACACCUCUCUUCUUCGGAGUUGGUUUAGGAAUAGGCUCAGGAGCUGGCUCAGGAAGUGUCCAAUUAUUUUCAUUUGUCAACAUAUUAUUCAAUAGAAUUUCAGCUUCAUCCGGUGUUCUUUCCCUGAAAACAGAACCAGCACAGCUAUCCAGGUAAUCUCUGGAAGCAUCGGUUAGUCCAUUAUAAAAGAUAUCAAGUAUUUCAUUUUUCUUAAGAGGAUGAUCAGGCAAAGCAUUAAGUAAUUGGAGAAGCCUCCCCCAAGCUUGUGGGAGACUCUCUUCUUCAAUUUGCACAAAAUUAUAUAUUUCCCUUAAAGCAGCUUGUUUCUUAUGAGCAGGAAAAUAUUUAGCAGAGAAGUAAUAAAUCAUAUCCUGGGGACUACGCACACAACCAGGAUCAAGAGAAUUAAACCAUAUCUUAGCAUCACCCUUUAAUGAGAAUGGAAAUAUUUUAAGGAUAUAAAAGUAGCGAUAUCUCUCAUCAUUAGUAAAUAGGGUGGCUAUAUCAUUUAAUUUAGUAAGAUGUGCCACAACAGUUUCAGAUUCAUAGCCAUGAAAAGGAUCAGAUUCAACCAAAGUAAUUAUAUCAGGAUCAACAGAGAAUUCAUAAUCCUUAUCGGUAACACAGAUAGGUGAAGUAGCAAAAGCAGGGUCAGGUUUCAUUCUAGCAUUAAGAGAUUGCUGCUUCAAUUUAGCUAAUAACCUCUUGAGCUCAUAUCUAUCUUUGCAAGCUAAAAUAGCUAAAGCAGCUUCUUUUUCAAAAACAUAACCCUCAGGAAUAACAAGAGAGUCUUCAUCAUCACUUUCAUCAAUAUUAUCUGUUUCAAUAAUUUCUUUCUCUCUAACCCUAGCAAGUUGUUCAUCAAGAAAUUCACUAAGUGGCACAGUAGUAUCAAGCAUAGAAGUAGUUUCAUCAUAAGUAUCAUGCAUAGCAGAAGUGGCAUCAUCAAUAACAUGCGACAUAUCAGAACGAAUAGCAAAAGCAGGUUUAGGUGUCGCAAGCUUACUCAAAACAGAAGGUGAAUCAAGUGCAGAGCUAGAUGGCAGUUCCUUACCUCCCCUCGUAGUUGAGGGAUAAAUUGUUGUCUUAGCGUCUAUCAAGUUCUUCAUAGUGACCAGCAGAUAUAAAUCCCAAGUGACUCAAAGAAUAGAGCUAUGCUCCCCGGCAACGGUGCCAGAAAAUAGUCUUGAUAACCCACAAGUAUAGGGGAUCGCAACAGUUUUUGAGGGUAGAGUAUUGAACCCAAAUUUAUUGAUUCGACACAAGGGGAGCCAAAGAAUAUUCUCAAGUAUUAGCAGUUGAGUUGUCAAUUCAACCACACCUGGAUAACUUAGUAUCUACAGCAAAGUAUUUAGUAGCAAAGUAAUAUGAUAGUAGUGGUAACGGUAACAAAGGUAAUAGUAGCAAAAGUAAUAUUUUUGGUGUUUUGUAGUGAUUGUAACAGUAGCAACGGAAAAGUAAAUAAGCGAAGAACAAUAUAUGAAAAGCUCAUAGGCAUUGGAUCGGUGAUGGAGAAUUAUGCCGGAUGCGGUUCAUAAUGUAACAAUCAUAACAUAGGGUGACACAGAACUAGCUCCAAUUCAUCAAUGUAAUGUAGGCAUGUAUUCC